rnacentral:rRNA from 1 species
UACGGGGGGGGCAAGCGUUGUUCGGAAUUACUGGGCGUAAAGGGCUCGUAGGUGGCCAACUAAGUCAGACGUGAAAUCCCCUGGCUCAACCAGGGAACUGCGUCUGAUACUGGAUGGCUUGAAUCCGGGAGAGGGAUGUGGAAUUCCAGGUGUAGCGGUGAAAUGCGUAGAUAUCUGGAGGAACACCUGUGGCGAAGGCGGCAUCCUGGACCGGUAUUGACGCUGAGGCGCGAAAGCCAGGGGAGCAAACGGG